AAGAGGGAGUUAGAUGUGGCCCUUGUGGCUAAGGGGAUCAGAGGGUAUGGAGAGAAGGCAGGUACGGGAUACUGAGUUGGAUGAUCAACCAUGAUCAUAUUGAAUGGCGUUGCAGGCUCGAAGGGCCGAAUGGCCUACUCCUGCACCUAAUUUCUAUGUUUCUAUGUUAAGCACAUUGCACGCUAUUUAAAAUGGCAAGUGUUUAAGAAAGAACUGCAGAUAGCGUUGUUACAAAACCUACCAUCAGCCGCGCUACAAAUCUGCCCCAGCCGAUGCUGGAAAAAUCAAAGGUAGACAAAAAAAGGCUGGAGAAACUGGCAAUGUAACUGCAGUACUAAUGAUUCCAUUUGACAUCCAUGCCACCAAAAUCUGCAGGUGCUGGAAAUACAAAAUAAAGCAAAAAAAUGUUUUAGAGAAGGAGCCACACCCACACUUCUGGGUUUUAUAAUCCCUCCCACGGGAAGUGAUUAUAAACUAAUAAGUGAAUCGGAGAAAGGAAAGAAACGAAAGAAAGAUGAAAGGAAAAAGAAAAGAAAAGAAAGAAUUUCGAAAAUUAUACAAAAAAGAAAGAAGAAAAACCGCUGAACUAACGAAGAAGUGAAAGAAAAAAGUGGAGAUAUCCCACUACUCUUCCCUACACCCGCUCACCCGACCUAGCGUCGGUUUUGAAUUUGUGUUCAACCAUUCUGUUGUGGAAGAAAUUCAAUAAAAGGAGACCAUAUUUUGGAAAAUUGAUCUGAUUUGUCAGGCAAAACAAGCCUUAUUUUUUCUAAAUGUAGUGUCUCGGUCAUUUCUGUGAUCCACAUCUUCACUGUGGGAACUGUUACCUUUUUCCAGAAUUUAAGUAUAAGUUUUUUCGCAGUUAUUAAACUGUAGUCAAGGAAGUGUCUUUGGAAUAUCGUUGACUUAGGGCAGCCCUCUGACAUUCUUAAUAUUAUUAAUUUUGAAUCUGACUCCAAUUGAAUUUUGAGUG